rnacentral:rRNA from 1 species
UGGGGAAUAUUGCACAAUGGGGGAAACCCUGAUGCAGCCAUGCCGCGUGUGUGAAGAAGGCCUUCGGGUUGUAAAGCACUUUCAGUAGGGAGGAAAGGUAAUAGUUUAAUACGCUAUUACUGUGACGUUACCUACAGAAGAAGGACCGGCUAACUCCGUGCCAGCAGCCGCGGUAAUACGGAGGGUCCGAGCGUUAAUCGGAAUUACUGGGCGUAAAGCGUGCGCAGGCGGUUUGUUAAGCGAGAUGUGAAAGCCCCGGGCUCAACCUGGGAAUUGCAUUUCGAACUGGCGAACUAGAGUCUUGUAGAGGGGGGUAGAAUUCCAGGUGUAGCGGUGAAAUGCGUAGAGAUCUGGAGGAAUACCGGUGGCGAAGGCGGCCCCCUGGACAAAGACUGACGCUCAGGCACGAAAGCGUGGGGAGCAAACAGGAUUAGAUACCCUGGUAGUCCACGCCGUAAACGAUGCCUACUCGGAGUUUGGUGUCUUGAACACUGGGCUCUCAAGCUAACGCAUUAAGUAGACCGCCUGGGGAGUACGGCCGCAAGGUUA